ACUGCCGAGAUCGGGAAAGCGAGCACGAGCGCACGUUACUUCCGGUGUGGCGAUUUUCCCCGGCCCCGCCCAUUACACUGGUUUAUCUGGUUGGUCUCGGUUGCGGGGCGUGUUUAUUGGACCCGGAAAUUUAGAGCAUCUGCUUGUCUUGGCUUUCUGGGCCAGCUGUUACUUAACUCUUUUGCAAGCGCCAACUCCCGGUAGGUGCGAGCCAGCUCUGCUUCCUGGCGAGGGGGGAACGUCUACUUGAAGAAGAAAUGCACUGAUCACCUGGGCAGGAUUUUACCUCAACUGAGAAAAUAAGUGUGGAGCGAACUCGGGGUACCUACCCAGCGUUCCGUGGAUAAAGACGUUGUUCGCACCACCUCGGGAGUUCACACCCUGGUGGGAAACUUGCAGUCUGCUCAAGGUACUGGAAUAUAGAAUUGUGCCCAGAAAGCGGAGAGAGAGGAGCAUCUGACCCAACCUGAGACUCCGGCAAUGAAGCUUCCAGAGUUCUCUGGCUGGUGGUCCCCUCCUUCAUCUUCAGAGCCAGCAACAUAGAAUUUUCUCCUCUCUGACCUCUGCUUCCAAUCUUGUGUCCACUCUCUAACUCUACUGCCUCCCUCUGCGAAAGGACCCUUUGAUUACUUUGGGCUCACCAUGGCAAUCCAGGAUACUCGUACCAUGGCAAGAGCCUUAACUUGAUCACAUCCACAAAGUUUCUUUGCCAUGUAAAUUAACAUAUUCAAAAGGUUUUGUGGACAUCUUUGGAGGGCUAUUAUUUGCAGACCACAGGAUCUAAAAUGAACUUUCUACUUCUGUGUCUUUUUCCCUGGCUGACAGGCACAGCUUUGAUCCCGCCAGAAAACUUACAUGGGAAUGGUCCUAAUAAAUACAGUCAUCUCAAAUCAACUGAGUUCUGAUAUUGUUCCUGGGGAGUCCAGUGGGUAGAUGGUGUGGUUCCAGUGAGGGCGGGAUGAAAUGGGUCUCUGUUGUCAGGUGACUUACAGGGUGUAAAGGAGACAGAUGUGUCACAAUCAGAGUAUAAUCAGUGAGGACAAAUUUUAGUCCAAUUUCUUUACCACCGUGUCUGCAGUCCCUAGAACAGGGUGAGCACCAUGCAGGUCCUCAUAUAUGUGUACAUGAAUAAAUUCUACAUCAGGUAUGUUUAGGGGAGCACAAGAGAUUAGUACAGCAUAGGGGGAGUCCGGGAGGACCUCCUGGAGGAUGCUGUAGAACUUUUGAAGGGGGUGUGUUCUGGUCGCAAGAGUUUGCUGCUGGGGCUCCUCCCAGGAGUCACUAGAAGCUGCUCAGAGAGCAGGAUGGAAACCUCAGGACAGUGUUGUCUCAUUUUGAGAAAAUGCAAAUCCUGCUCACUUUAAACAGAUUUGAAAAUCCCUUCUGUACAAAGUUUGAAAUAAUAUGAAUCUCUCAACCCCAAUUAAAACUUUUUUUCAAGAAUUGUGUAAUUUUGGGAGUGUUCUUCUAGUUGCUAGAUGAGAUACAUACAGCCGAAUUCAUGAAUCAUUUAUAAAGGCAAUUAGAUCUUCAAAUUAAAAAAAGAAAAAGAAUUGUGUAAUUUCUAUGUAGGCAGGCUCAAGGGACUGCAAAGGUCAUUUAUUAUUUUGCCACAUGGCGGCGCUGCUGCCACUGGUAAACAAAACACACCCCCCAUCCUUUAGUGGUGGCCAGUGAACACACAUGCAACUUCUGUGAAUGAUCUUGGUGCUCUUGUGACAUUUAUUGUUACAAUUAAAAAUCUAAUAUCCUGUCAUUGUCACCCAAGCUUUCAUUCACCAAUUGUGCUAGUGCCAGUACUGGAAAAUGUAUUAAAAAAUAAUUUAGAAGGGGAAAUCAAAUGCGAAAAAAUGCGGUAUACUGUGUUGUUCAUAGGAGAGAACAGUCCACAAAAUAUUCGAGAUAAUACUUCUGCACUUGGUCUUGCUCUGCCUCUCCAGGGGGGCAGGGCUGAAUCCCAGCACACACUAGCAUGUCUGUCAUAUAGCAGGCACCAGUAAACAUUUGUGAAAUAAACAAUAAGCAAACAUGGAGGUGGCAACCUUGUAGCUAGCUCCCACCUAUAUAAAUACUUUCUGUUUCACUGGACACAGAAACUAACAAAAAGUUCCUGAAACUGAAUUCCACAAUCACAGCUGUGAAUUUCUGAAUAGUCCAGCUCAGGUUAGCUGUCUAUGUCCAGUCUAAUCAACUCUGCCCAGGGAAAUGGCUCCAGAAGGUUGUUACCAUGAAUGAAGGAAGACUUUGGGGAGGGGGAGGUGUGAGCCCAAACUAACUAUAUAGUGUAUGAGUAAUGAGUCUUGGCCACAUAUACACUUAUUUUUCAAAUGUUUAAGGUUACUGCUAUGACAAUAUAAUUUGUUUUAUUAUGAUGAAAUACAGAUAAUACAAAAUUUGCCGCUUUAACCAUUUGUAAGUGUACAGUUUAGUGACAUUAAGAAUAUUCGCAUUGUUGGGCAAACUAUCACCACCAUCCAUCUCCAGAACUUUUUUCACCUUCCCAAACUAAACUCUGUACCUAUUAAACACUCACUCGCCAUUGUGCCCCCUUCCUUGCCACAGUCCCAGGAAACCACGAUUCUAACUUUCUGUCUCUAUAAAUAUGACUACUCUAUGCAUCUCACAAAAGUGAAAUCAUACAGUGUCGGUCCUUUUGUGACUGGCGUAUUUCACUUAGCAUAAUGUCCUCAAUGUUCAUCCGUGACAUAGACAUGUGAGGAUUUCCUUUCUUUUUAAGGUUAAAUGAUAUUCCAUUGUACGUCUGUGCCACAGUUUGUUUAUCCACUCAUGCAAGGAACAGUUGGGUUGCGUCCAGUUCUUGGAUAUUGUGAAUUGUGCUGCUAUGAAUAUUAUCAAAGCAUUUUUUAAUUCACGGCAGCUUUUUGUCAUUGUGCAAACUCUCACCCAGUGGUCCUGAAAGUGCACCUCCUGUCUCCUGUGGAGAUCAGCAGAAAAACUGGCACUGCGAUGUCUUUAUGUUUGUCAUCUUUAAAUCUUCAAAUAGGAGUUAUGUUCGAGGGAGAGAAAUCAGUGUGGUGGUGCAUGUGGAAAUCAAGUCCUGGGAAGAAGGAAUGCUGCAAAAUUAAGUCAGCAGCCUAGAGAAGAGCAGACUUGAGGGCAACUGUGGAAGCCAUUUAUGCCUUCUUCCCUCCCUGCUACCUUCAGUCUAUCUUAAAGAAAUCAGUAUUUCUCUGUGAAAAUACGCAGAAGCUGACUGAUUGUAGAAAGGAUCCCAGAGUUUGGAGGGGAGUUGAAGGAGAGCUAUACUUGGGCUCUAAGACUUCUUUUACCCUACUUUUUAUUUUAUUUUAGUUUAGGUUAUGUUUUAUUAUAUUUUGUUAUAUUUUAUUUAGGUGGGGUACCAAAUUACCUUGUUUGAAGAAAUGGUAUAAAUGAAAGACAUAAGUGGAUGACUUGGUACGAGUUACAGAAAAGGCACAUACAGGAAAUUCCGAAAAGCAUGUUCUGCUUUGGUGACCAGGGAAGUCACCCCCAUGGUUACGGGGAAGCCAACCUGAGGCUGAGCUCUCCUCACCGUGUCCCAGGGCAUGGUUGUCACAGAGAUGCCCUGCCAUGCCAGUUUCCUGCACACACUGGCUACGCAGUCACAGCCAGUCCUCUGAUGCCUUUCACCUGCUCAUUCAGGUAGUGAGUCCUAGUGAGGUCACACAAAUGGGGGUCAUUUUUGUCAGUGGCCACUUUGUACAAGUCCAGUAGUGACUGAUUCACACUUUUUCCCAAGUGUAACACAUGCUUCAUUGCAUUCAGCCCAUGCUCCUGGUCAUCACCAUCUGGUUUCUUGAUAUCCUGAAUGAAGACUCUGCUACCUCAUUGGUUCUGCAGCUUCUUCAGUUUCUCAGCGUGUUCCCCCUUUCGUCAUGAGAUUGGUGAGGAAAGUAUUUGACUGAGUUCUUCAAAGCCAUGUCACAGAGUAGUAUGACUGGACAGGUAGACACAGGCAGUGUGAGCUCCGGUUGAUCUGGCGGCUGAUGGUGCCCUCUGAGUCCUAGUGGCAGUUCUGGCACACCUGUGAGGGACUGGAGCGGUGGUGGGGCCUUGGGGUCCCUGGGCACUGUGAGGAGGGGGCGGAGGGCAGCACCGGGGCGCGGGCUGGGUUGAACACCGGUUCCGUGCAAGCCCUGCAAAGCAAGGAACCAUGCAAAUCUCAGCAAAGACUGUCUCUGUCUGUUCCAUUCUUUAAGUAUGGGCAGAAAUGACAAAAAUGACCCAAGCUGUAGUUUAUACAGUAAAUAACUACUCAGGGUAAACUUAGUUUGCUAUUUGUUGGUGUCACAUCCUCCAGAUGCAAUCCUGUAAGUUGUGUGCAGUUCGAGAGCUGCACAAGCUUCUGCGGGGCCGAUACUCUCUGAGAUCGUAGUGACCGGAGCCAGGGAAGGUCACCAGCAUACCCCAUGGGGCCUAAACACAGAAUUGUAUAUGAUGCUAGCAAAAUACCCUGGUUAAUCCAAAUCAAGUUAGCAAACAGAAGAGUCUUGUUCCAUUUUUAGUUGCUAAAAAUUAAUGACUUAAUUUGUGCCAUUUAUUAGACUUUGGUUUUUAGUUUUUGUCCAGUUUCUCCUUUCCCUUUUUAUUAAAACUUGUGGGGGGAAAUACCUCAAGAAGCUGUGGCGAAGUAGACAAAUCUUAUACUUUGGGGUUGGAAAAUAAACUGGUACAAUCUCCCAGGAUGGCAACUCAGCCAGUUAUUAAAAUGUCAAGUGCACCUGCCCUUUGACUCAGAGGUUCUGCUUGUAGGUUCACCUUCUAGAUGGCCUUCUCACACUAGUGAUGGAUAUAUACGGCAAGUCACUGCAGCAAAAGAUUAAAAAUGCCCUAACCAUCCAUCCAUCCAUCGACAAGGGACUAUUUAAUAAUGUAUAUGGCACAUCCAAAGAAUGCUCAGCGUAUGAGUGGGGCUGCAGUGCUUUCCAGUGCUGGGAGACUGAGAGAUCUUGAUUUACUUAGAAAUGGCUCCAAGGUACAUGGCUGCAUGACAAAAGCAAGUUGGUCGCCAUGCUCUGCAGGGCCCAGUGGACAGGCCCCUGUGGCAAGAAACUGAAGGAGGCCUCAGGCCAAAAGCCAGUUAAAGAAAUGAGGCCAUUAGCCCAACAGCCUGUGAGAAACUAAAUCCUACCAACACCCCUUCAGUGAACUUGAAAGCAGAUCCUCCUAAGUGGAGUUGUGAGGUGACCGCAGCUCCAGUGACAGCUGACAGCAGCCUUUGAAAGACCCUGAGCCACAGGGCUCAGGUAGCCCAGUCUUUUGAUCUCCUGACUCAACCCACUCUGAGCCAAAAUUCAAGUCCUGUUGGAAAAAACUGCCCUCAGAGGAUAACCUACCCGCUCUACAGAGGCUUCCAGACCUCAUGCGAGAGCCCCUGGUCUACUAUGACCAGGCCCAAGGACACCUUACAAACGAAGGACCUUCACCAUCAUACCUCGAAACAGUUUUUGAAAAUUUUCUGUGAAUUCAGAUCAUUUACUAAACGCAUGCAUCCUUUGAUGCAUCAUUUUGAUGCAUCCUUUUUUCUUCCAAGGGCAAAUUACAAUAAAAUCAGAGUUUUGUUUUAUACUUCCAAUUCAAUUAAGUUACCCACAUAACUCAGUCCUGACUUUGGAGACUCACAUUUGAUCUUUGUAUUUGGCUUCAGAAAAGUGGGUAGUAAAGCAAAUUAAAUACAUUUUUUUAUCAUUUUCUUCCUUAGGUAUUGCUUCUGAUUUAAUAAAUGUACCCACUCUUAUGGGCUGAAUGUUUGUUUCCCCCCAAAAUUCCUACUUUAAAAUCCUAACCUUCAAUGCCUAGAAUUAGGAGGUGGGGCCUUUGGGAGGUAGAUAGGUCGUGAGGGCCAAGCCCUCCUGAAUGUGGUUAGUGCCUCUACAAACAACACCCAGAAAACUCUCUCACCCCUUCCUGCCUGCCUGCAAGGACAGCACGAAGGCAGCCAUCUGCGAACCAGACACCAAAUCCUCUAGACUUGAUCUUGGACUUCCAACCUCCAGAACUGUGAGAAAUACACAUUUGUUGUUUAAGCCACCCAGUCCAUGGUGUUUUUGUUAUAACAGCUCUAAUGGAUUAAGGUGUCUACUAUGUUUAUUGCAGAGCUUUCACUCAGAUUUUAAAAAACACAGAAGUGCCUGAUUUUUUAGUUUUCUUUAACAGAUAGAAGGUACAUUGCAUUGGGUAUCUGGGUUUUUUUUUCGGUUCUGUAUCAUUUAAAUGUAUAUUUCAAGAAAAAUGUCAAAGAAUAGGAGAACUUUGACUUGUCAGUGUGUUUUUUUAAACUUUCAUUAACUUGAUAAAUGGUUUAAGUAUGAUAAAAGGGACAAAAUAGAGGGAAAAAUCAAAAUCCUUAAAACCUAAAAAUUAGCCCUGGCCAGUAUAGUUCAGUCAGUUGGAGCAUUCUCCUGUAAGCGAAAGUUUGUGGGUUCAAUUCCUGGUCAAGGCACAUACCUAGCUCUUGGGUUCUGUCCCCAGGCCAGGUGCAUGUGAUAUGGGAGGCAACGAAACAGUGAGUGCUUCUCUCUCACAUUGAUGUUUCUCUCUCUCCCUUCCUCGCUCUCUAAAAAGCAAUGAAAAAAAAAAUGUCCUUGGAUGAAGAUUUUUAAAAAAGCCCCCAAAAUUAGUAAAUCCAGAUACUGUACUUGACAAUCAAAUAAAUAAAUACAAACAUAUUUCUCUUUAGUAACUGAGUGGAAAUACUGUAACUCUCAACUCCAGGAAGCAAAAAGAGAGAGUUGCAGAACCAUGGAAGACAUAUACUGUGAAGUGUUGGCAAAAGAAGCUCUAUUAGAAUUGUGAUAAGAAGAAAUGCCCUAUAUAAAAGUCAUUAUAUGCUUUAUUUAGUUUUAUUGGA